UGGGGAAUUUUGGACAAUGGGCGAAAGCCUGAUCCAGCAAUGCCGCGUGUGUGAAGAAGGCCUUCGGGUUGUAAAGCACUUUUGUCCGGAAAGAAAUCCUUGGCUCUAAUACAGUCGGGGGGAUGACGGUACCGGAAGAAUAAGCACCGGCUAACUACGUGCCAGCAGCCGCGGUAAUACGUAGGGUGCAAGCGUUAAUCGGAAUUACUGGGCGUAAAGCGUGCGCAGGCGGUUUGCUAAGACCGAUGUGAAAUCCCCGGGCUCAACCUGGGAACUGCAUUGGUGACUGGCAGGCUAGAGUAUGGCAGAGGGGGGUAGAAUUCCACGUGUAGCAGUGAAAUGCGUAGAGAUGUGGAGGAAUACCGAUGGCGAAGGCAGCCCCCUGGGCAAAUACUGACGCUCAUGCACGAAAGCGUGGGGAGCAAACAGGAUUAGAUACCCUGGUAGUCCACGCCCUAAAACGAUGUCAACUAGUUGUUGGGGAUUCAUUUCCUUAGUAACGUAGCUAACGCGUGAAGUUGACCGCCUGGGGAGUACGGUCGCAAGAUUAAAACUCAAAGGAAUUGACGGGGUCAUA
rnacentral:rRNA from 1 species